ACUUGUUCCCCCUCCAGGAGCUACUGCCGAGUGUGAACUGUCAGACAAGGAAGGCUGUGUACUGACCCCGUGAGCAGCACACCAACAUUUUCACAUCUCUGCAAACAGUAACCAAUCGUUUGAGGGAAAAGGGCAGUUGGGAAGUUGCUCACAGGCAGGAGACGUCAGGAGCGAGCUAGCCAAGACUCGCUGCAUCUUCCACCCAGCCUCUGCUGAGAGUGCUGGCAAGCCCUGCGGGCUCACUGCCUCCCCAGGCUGGAUGGAGGGAAACCUUUCCCCAGAGCUCUGAGGAGAGCACUGUCCAGGAACCAUCUUUUGGGCUCUGCAUGUGUAGAUAACAAAGAAGAGUCCUGCAGGCCUGGGAAUAAGUCAAAUAUAAAGAAAGAAGCAGAAGAGCUGGCUCCCUUGUCAGGGCUCUGAGGAGAGUAUGGAGGUCUGUGAGCUAGGAGGCACAUCAAGACCACCUUAUAGUCCUUCACAGAGCUUCCACACUGACUUGGCAUCUCUGAGGAGAUGGUCCCAGGAGGAAGUACAGGAAAGGAUGGCCAUGGAGGAAGUGACCACCACAUUCACCUCUCUCCUUUGACAAGCUUUGCUUUUCAGUUUCCCCUUUCUUGUUAGAUACCACUAACU